GCCAUCCCGAUGGUCCCUGUGCAUGAAUAGCAGAUGUACGGACUGCUGCAGUCUAAAACCGUUUCCAAGGGAACAGCUAUGGAGCUGACACAUCCGACCCUCCACAGACAGAGAGAACGGGGGCCCUGGUACAUGGAGUUCUUCUCACAGAUUUCAUGUGACCUCAACCUCGAUGGAGGAUGGAGCUCAUUUUCAGACUGGACAAAGACAACACAAAAUUGUAUUCAAGGCUUCUACAAGGCUUAGCUGAAACUUUCCUGCAAGCACACAAGGUCCAUGUGAGCAGUAUGGCCAUUUCCAAAAAGAGGAGAGGCCACCCAUAUCACGAUGUCAUCAAGAUUAACGGAAAGACAGUGGCUUUCCACUGCACGAAAGAUCUGCUCGGAUGCUUGCAAGUGCAUUUUAGUCUAACGGAGGCCAGGAACAGCCUUGGCAGAGGACUCCAUGUUUUCAUAAACAAGGUGUCAAGAGAGCAUGCACAGAUGAGUGGCGUGGCUGGGGUGGGUACUGCAGAUGUCAAACCCCUGCUCAGCCUCUGUGUGACCCCACGGGUACGCAGGCACCUUUGGGAUCCAGUCAUCACAAGCUGAGCUAUCAAUUCCCCUUCUGCUACCCACUCCUCUGGAAUAAUAAUAAUAAUAAUACAGAGUGGCUUAUGAUCUGUGGCGUCUGUGUUGGAUUGAGUGUGCAUUUAUAUGGGGGGUUUACAUAGUCCUUAUCACAUACAAACGCAACUGGAUCAGCAUUAUUAUCAGAGCAUGACCAGAGAUCAGGCUGUGGCAGGGGUGGGCAGGGUCUGGUGGGUUCUCAAGCACUGCUUUAAAUGAAUCUGUGAGCAUACUUGCUCUAGUAUAAAUGCCAAACACAGGCCUAAGAGAAGCUACCAGAGGUGUGAUCCUGUUUACCAUUGGGGGCGGGUCAUAGCACUACUAUAAAGCAAGAUCCCCAAACCAACCUGCGAAGGAGAAAAAUAGGUGAACAUUUUUUUCACUAAACGUUAUAAAGGUAUAAAGGAUUUUUACCUUUGAAGAUAAUCUGUCUGGUUUACACAUUCUUUGUAAAAACUUGUUAUUAUUGUUACUGCUAAAUACAUGUAUGUCACUACAUAGCAAUAACUUAUGUACAGUAAAUCCAUAAUGUAAUGACAUCAGUUAGCUUUAGCUUCCAUGUUCAAACCACUGCAUUGUAGCCAAUAGGGAGUAUAGGAU